GGACUACUGGGGUAUCUAAUCCCGUUUGCUCCCCUGGCUUUCGCGCCUCAGCGUCAGAGAGGGCCCAGCACGCCGCUUUCGCCACCGGAGUUCCGCCGGAUAUCAACGCAUUUCACCGCUCCACCCGGCGUUCCGCGUGCCCCUACCCCCCUCAAGACUUCCAGUAUCCACGGCCAUUCCCCGGUUGAGCCGGGGGAUUUCACCACGGACUGGGAAACCCGCCUACGCGCCCUUUAAGCCCAGUGAUUCCGAACAACGUUCGCACGGUUCGUCUUACCGCGGCUGCUGGCAC
rnacentral:rRNA from 3 species